UACGUAGGGUGCAAGCAUUAAUCGGAAUUAUUGGGCGUAAAGGGCGUGUAGGCGGUUGUAUAAGUCAGAUGUGAAAUCCCGGAGCUCAACUUCGGAACUGCAUUUGAAACUGUACAUCUAGAGGAUAGGCGGAGAAAACGGAAUUCCACAAGUAGCGGUGAAAUGCGUAGAUAUGUGGAAGAACACCGGUGGCGAAGGCGGUUUUCUAGCUUAGACCUGACGCUGAGGCGCGAAAGCAAGGGGAGCAAACAGG
rnacentral:rRNA from 1 species